rnacentral:rRNA from 1 species
UACGUAGGGGGCUAGCGUUGCUCGGAAUGACUGGGCGUAAAGGGCGCGUAGGCGGUUUGCACAGUCAGAUGUGAAAUUCCUGGGCUCAACCUGGGAACUGCAUUUGAAACUGGCGGGCUUGAGUGUGGCAGAGGGGGGUGGAAUUCCGCGUGUAGCAGUGAAAUGCGUAGAGAUGCGGAGGAACACCGAUGGCGAAGGCAGCCCCCUGGGCCAACACUGACGCUCAGGCACGAAAGCGUGGGGAGCAAACAGG